AAAAAAUGAAGAGUGUCACAUAAUAGAUGAGGUUCUAAGCUUUUAAAAAAUAUAUCACUCAUUAAAUUUGGGUAAUUGGUUAAUGAGAUAUGAAGUUUUGCGACGCUAGGCAAUUAUGGCCUAAUUAAGAGCCGCCAUAUUGGAUAAUUAGUGUAAUUAGUGACUUUGUUAAUUUUUUUUUUCAUAGUUCAUUUUACUUAAC